rnacentral:snRNA from 2 species
AUAUCUUUCUCGGCCUUUUGGCUAAGAUCAAGUGUAGCAUAUGUUCUUAUCAGUUUAAUAUCUGAUAUGUGGUCCAACGGAUCAAAAAACAAUGUUAUAAAAGCCGUU